rnacentral:rRNA from 1 species
GACGAACGCUGGCGGCGCGCUUAACACAUGCAAGUCGAGCGAGAACCAGGCCUUCGGGCCUGGGGACAGCGGCGAACGGGUGAGUAACACGUGGGUAAUCAACCCUCGAUACUGGGAUAGCCCGGGGAAACCCGGAUUAAUACCGGAUGGCCCUUUGGAUCCUCGGAUCUGAAGGAAAAGGUAGCUUCGGCCUCCGAUCGAGGACGAGCCCGCGGCGGAUUAGCUUGUUGGUGAGGUAAAGGCUCACCAAGGCGACGAUCCGUAGCUGGUCUGAGAGGACGAUCAGCCACACUGGGACUGAGACACGGGCCCAGACUCCUACGGGAGGCAGCAGUGGGGAAUCUUGCGCUAAUGCGGGAAACCGUGACGCAGCGACGCCGCGUGAGGGAAGAAGGGCCUUCGGGUUGUAAACCUCUUUCAGGAGGGACGAAGGCCACUCGGGUUAAUAGCCCAGAGGGUGACGGUACCUCC